rnacentral:misc_RNA from 1 species
GAUGAAGAACGCAGCGAAAUGCGAUAAGUAAUGUGAAUUGCAGAAUUCAGUGAAUCAUCGAAUCUUUGAACGCACAUUGCGCCCCUUGGUAGUCCAUGGGGCAUGCCUGUUCGAGCGUCAUUUGUACCUUCAAGCUCUGCUUGGUGUUGGGUGUUUGUCUCGCCUCUGCGUGUAGACUCGCCUCAAAACAAUUGGCAGCCGGCGUAUUGAUUUCGGAGCGCAGUACAUCUCGCGCUUUGCACUCAUAACGACGACGUCCAAAAGUACAUUUUUACACUCUUGACCUCGGAUCAGGUAGGGAUACCCGCUGAACUUAAGCAUAUCAAUAAGCGGAGGA